GCCUUGCGCCCGGGUGAGGCGGCGGCCUCGAGGUUGUCCUGCUGUGCUCCGCAGUGCUCCAACGCCGCGGGGCGGCUCCGGGCGCCGCCUCAGCUUCUACAGGAGAGACGUUGUGGGUGAGACAGAGGGAACAUCAAAUGAGAAACUGGGAAGAGAUAUGAAGUAGCGGGACCAGUUUUUCUAAAAAGCUCAACUGAUCAAAGAGAAGGAAGGAAGCAAUUUGCUGGGCUCCCAGGACACCAACGCAGAGCUACCUUCGAGCCGGCACUGUGUGACUGCAUGGAGACUGUCUGUGCCAGUGGGCCAGACCUAAAGAAGGAACUACCAGAUGAUGCUGAGGAUUCCUGCAUUCAUCGACAGAAGCAGUUUAGUGAGACAAAGGAACCGUAAGGCAGGAUAUGCAGUAACUGCUACUGAGCAGGUAAUCAGAGUACAACCGUUACCUGUAGGGACUUCCACUAAGAGGUCUAAAAUAGCCUUAAACGUAUGGACAGAUGCUAAAUAUGCAUUUGGGGUGGCACACACUUAUGGUACCAUCUGGAAAGAGCAAGGAGUGCUCACACACAGGGAAAACAAAUUGAGCACGGUGUAUAUCUACCAAAGAGCGUGGCUGUUAUACACUGUGAUGGACAUCAGAAAGGUGACAGUGUCCAGGAAACUGGAAAUAUGAUAGGGAUCAGGUGGCAAAACAGGCAGUUGAAGGAAAAGAGAUAGCAGAACUGGCUUUAAUUCCAGAUGGUAAACUUCAAAUCUCUGAACCUGAGUCAGCCUGUGGAGCAUUUUAGAGGGGACGGGAAUCUAAUUAAUGAUUUAGAAGGGAAGAGAGCUAGCUGACAGAUGGGUGCGUACCCAGAUGGACACGCUGUUGUGCCCUUUAGUACUUUAUGGAAGUUGGUUCUAAGGGAACAUAUUGAAACAUACUGAGGGGACAAACAGUAGAAAGUAAUUGCGCAAUCUAGUACCAGGAACAGGGUACAAGUGGGGCCUAUUAGGAAAGGGAACCUUCCAGGGCAACAAUGGCAAAUUGUUUUUUGUUUGGAACUACCAGGAAAAAAGGAGGGUUUUGUUAUAUGCUAGUUGAAACCAAUACCUUUCCAGGGUGGCCAGAAGCAUUCCCUCUGCAAAGCCAAAGAAGUAGCCGAGGUAUUGUUGCAGGAGAUUAUUCCAAGGUUUGGGGUUAGCGCAACAAUAUCCUCCAACCAGGGAGCUCCCUUGAUUGUAAAGAUUGUCCAACAGGGCAGAAAUAGCUUUGGGAAACAGAGAAACUGGUUCUAGGAACAAGAGCCCAAGGCCUUGACAGCUUGAUAAAUCAUAUUUUACAAAGAGAUUAUGUGUAUAUAUUAGAUCUCUUUCAGACCCACCCCUGGAACCAAGCUGGGAAGGUCUGUUCCAGGUGCUGCUAACGUCCCACACAGCUGUCAAAGUUAAAGAACAAGCGCUGUGGAUGCAUUAGACUAGGGUCAGUAAGAUUCCUUGAACACAAUGGGAAUCGAAGUCAGCUGGACCUUUAAAACUGCAAAUCCAAAGACAGUAAAUAUGGGCUCUUGUAAUAGUGAGAAAUUUGAUAAGUGCGGCUUUUGAUGCAAAUGCUUAUGUAAAAAAAAAAAACCAAAAAGCUUUGCAAAGUAUGCCAGUCUCAGUCAUUGUGCAGUAUGUGGCCAAGCCGAUGAUUUUAACUCUCCACUCCUUGGAAUCCCUGAUGCAUUUAACUAGAAGGAGCACUGAUGGCCAUCGGUUGCUGUGUUAUCCUGUGUGUGAAGGGACUGGUUCAACAACUGAUCGAGACAGCACUACUGAAGCAAACAGCAAGGGAGCCACCACCACAUUUGGAUAAAAUGAUGGUGUGAGAGGAGAUGGGGAAUGAAGACAGCAAAGAUGAUAUCUGUAAGAUUGUACCAUAUAAAAGAAUUGCAGAAAUCAACAAUGUAAGAAGAAGAAAAGGGGGGAAUUGUAGGAAUGGAAUGUUGUUUCUGCAUUAGGUACCGAAAAUGGGGAAUUGAUCCGAAGAAGUAGAGCACAAUGGAUUUGUAUUUUGUAACUUGUCCUUAGAAAUAGCUGAUGUGAAAAGGUAGAAAUACUGGAUAUGUUAGUAGCGUAUUUCAGAAGUAUAGCUGCUGAAUUAUGUGAUUAGUUCUUGCUUGCAAAACUGCAAUAGUUUUUAAAUGUUCCAGAUAGUAUAGGGAUAGUACGAUGGACUAGAAAGCAUAUUGUAGGGCUAUUCUGUUUAGAUAAGAGAACCUCAGCAAGAGAAAAACAGACUUGACCAACAUCAAAGAAGCCAGGGCCUCUGCACAAGGUUGGAUUGCCUCACUCUGUGGGUAGGUGCAACAGGCAGGCAUGAAGAUACUCCCCUCUAUCCUCCUGCCAAGCUUGUCUCUAUCCAAGGGCAAGCAGAUGCCCAGAAACAGUGACUGAGUGUUGAAUGAGCACACGUGAGCACACGUUAACUAAUGAGUGACAUGUGCUUAGCUAGCAACAAGUUAUGUUGAUCCAGUAUCCGUACGUUUAGCUGAGCAUCGGGAAGAUUGUGAACCUGAAGUACUCAGCCAAUGAGGAACCAAUGAGGGGAGAAAGAGGUAAGCGUCGAUAACAGGGAGUAAAAAUGGAAGGCUGUUUUCUGUGUGCUCUCCUGCUUGCAGGAGGCCUGCCAUUGCAGUUGUGCAUAGAAUCUGCUUUAUCAGAGAUACCGUCCUGAUAAAUUAUUUGUAUUUGCCUAUUUCCAACGUGGCAAGCACACCCCCUUCAGGGCACAUCUCAUCCCACUGUUAGUCAGUCCUUGUAAGAAGCACCACGACAAAUCCACCUGAAAAACACAGCCCUUCCAUUGAGUAACAAAGAAAGCACUCUGCCCUUGCUCCUGACCCUCGUCCCUGCCCCCACCUGCCCUCACAGUACAGCCACCUUCUCUUGAGCAGGGUAAAGAGCAGUGAGAAUUCAUACUUGGUUAUCCUGGCACAAAGAGUUUGUGGGCCACAAAGAGAAAUCCCUGCAUUCCAGAAAACAGAGACAAAAAGAGACAGACGGAGGAGUGCCUAAUAAAGAUGUGACGAUGUUCUCAGCUGCGACUGGUGUUGCUGGAUACAAGCAACCACACGAGGUUGAGCACGCUCUCCUCUCUCUAUCCCAAUCCAAGAAACACACAGAAGAGCUCAGUGCUCUCUUGCUUUCAUUUCCUUCCAUGAGCGAUUUUAAAUUGCACGUUGUUGUAGGCCGGCACAAGCUCUAGGGCCUAAAGGCACCGCCUGAGUGGCCAGCACAGCCCCGGGGACUAAAGCCCCCGGGGACUAAAGCCUCAGCCUGAGAGGCAUGAGGUCCCUGUGGUCUAAAGCCACCACAAGAGAGGCCAGCACCGACCCCAGCGCCUAAAGCCACAGCCAGAGAUGCCUAAACAGACCCCGGGGCCUGAAGCCGCAGGCAGGCAGGCCUGCACUGGCGCUGCAUCCUGAAGACUCAUCCUCAGCCUGAGAGGUCAGCACCAGCCCUGGGCCUACAGCCACAGCCAGAGGCAGAGAGGCCAGCACAGACCAGGGGCAGAAAGCCAGACUCAUGGCAUUGAGAGGCCAGCACCAGCUCCAGGGCCUAAAGCCACAGACACAUCCAGUGAGUCUGGCACCAGCCCUGGGGCCUAAAGCCACAGCCACAUAGGGCAGCACUGGCCCUGCAGCCUACAGCCACAGCCCAAAGGGCCAGCACAUGCCCUGGGGCCUGAAGCCACUGCUAGAGAGGCCAGCACCGGCCCCAGGGCCUGAAGCCACAGCCCGAGAUGCCUAAACCGACCCAGGGCCUGAAGCCA